GACGAACGCUGGCGGCGUGCUUAACACAUGCAAGUCGAACGGAAAGGCCCUGCUUUUGUGGGGUGCUCGAGUGGCGAACGGGUGAGUAACACGUGAGUAACCUGCCCUUGAAUUUGGGAUAACUUCAGGAAACUGGGGCUAAUACCGGAUAGGAGCUACUGCUGCAUGGUGGGGGUUGGAAAGUUUCGGCGGUUGGGGAUGGACUCGCGGCUUAUCAGCUUGUUGGUGGGGUAGUGGCUUACCAAGGCUUUGACGGGUAGCCGGCCUGAGAGGGUGACCGGCCACCUUGGGACUGAGAUACGGCCCAGACUCCUACGGGAGGCAGCAGUGGGGAAUAUUGCACAAUGGGCGGAAGCCUGAUGCAGCAACGCCGCGUGCGUGAUGACGGCCUUCGGGUUGUAAACCGCUUUCGCCUGUGACGAAGCGUGAGUGACGGUAAUGGGUAAAGAAGCACCGGCUAACUACGUG
rnacentral:rRNA from 1 species